rnacentral:snoRNA from 1 species
AUCCUAUGAUGAGGACAGGCGGCCACAUAUUACUGAAGUCUUUCCCAUGCUUCAGGAAUGGACUCAUCCCUCAUCUGCAGGACACUGGAAAUCCUUCCACAAAGGGC